rnacentral:snoRNA from 1 species
GGGGUGUGCUCAGAGCAGGGUCCCUAAAGAAUAGCCCCUCUGUUUACAACACAACCAGUAGGAACUUGGGUUUACUCCUCAUAGGUGGCAAGAUACUUUGGCCUUUCUGUGACAUCAUGCCCCAUACAU